GGGCACGUAGCUCAGUCCGGAUAGAGCGUCGGACUUCUAACGCCGUCACGGCCGUGACGGUGGAAGCGAUCCGACGGUCGUGGGUUCGAAUCCCACCGUGCCCG
rnacentral:tRNA from 1 species